GACGAACGCUGGCGGCGUGCCUAAUACAUGCAAGUUGAGCGCUGAAGGUUGGUACUUGUACCAACUGGAUGAGCAGCGAACGGGUGAGUAACGCGUGGGGAAUCUGCCUUUGAGCGGGGGACAACAUUUGGAAACGAAUGCUAAUACCGCAUAAAAACUUUAAACACAAGUUUUAAGUUUGAAAGAUGCAAUUGCAUCACUCAAAGAUGAUCCCGCGUUGUAUUAGCUAGUUGGUGAGGUAAAGGCUCACCAAGGCGAUGAUACAUAGCCGACCUGAGAGGGUGAACGGCCACAUUGGGACUGAGACACGGCCCAAACUCCUACGGGAGGCAGCAGGAGGGAAUCUUCGGCAAUGGACGAAAGGCUGACCGAGCAACGCCGCGUGAGUGAAGAAGGUUUUCGGAUCGUAAAACUCUGUUGGUAGAGAAGAACGUUGGUGAGAGUGGAAAGCUCAUCAAGUGACGGUAACUACCCAGAAAGGGACGGCUAACUACGUG
rnacentral:rRNA from 1 species